GAUGAACGCUGGCGGCGUGCGUUUAUACAUGCAAGUCGAACGAGGUCCAUGGAGCUUGCUCCGGACGACCUAGUGGCGAACGGGUGCGUAACACGUGAGGAACCUGUCCCGAUCACUGGGAUAACAGUUGGAAACGACUGCUAAUACCGGAUGUCGCCGGUGCACCGCAUGGUGCGCCGAUGAAAGGGUUACUGGAUCGGGAGGGUCUCGCGGCCUAUCAGCUUGUUGGAGAGGUAACGGCUCACCAAGGCAUCGACGGGUAGCUGGUCUGAGAGGAUGAUCAGCCACACUGGGACUGAGACACGGCCCAGACUCCUACGGGAGGCAGCAGUAAGGAAUCUUGCACAAUGGGCGAAAGCCUGAUGCAGCAACGCCGCGUGCGGGAAGACGGCCCUAGGGUUGUAAACCGCUUUCAGCAGGGAAGAAACUGACGGUACCUGCAGAAGAAGGUGCGGCCAACUACGUG
rnacentral:rRNA from 1 species